UAAGUUGUAUGAAUUCUUUAAAAUAGCCUGGA
rnacentral:piRNA from 1 species